GGGCCUGUAGCUCAGCGGUUAGAGCAGCGGACUCAUAAUCCGUUGGUCCCAGGUUCAAAUCCUGGCGGGCCCACCA
rnacentral:tRNA from 3 species